UUUUUUCCCGCUGCUGGCAGCAGUGCUUGCUAAAUACUAGCAGCAUGAACCAAGAAGGUUUCAGUGCGUGUGACCUUGCUGUGGAGGCUGGUGGCUGCUGUGCUUCCAUGUAGUGCGUAGGUGUUCGGGGUAAUGAAUGCAGUGACACGGUUCCCCUACAGAUACGUGUUUAGCGUGCCUAGAAGUACUUGUUAUUUAUGACUCGUCACGUUUUUGUGCUGUAAGUGGCUACCUGUGGCAAUGGAGCUGAAUGGGGCUCCUACUAAGAGGAAAAGCCUGCCUCUGCCGGUGGGUAGCUGGCUCCUUCCCACAUGUCUCCUCUGUGCCUACGGGUUCUUCGCUAAUCUGAGACCGUCUGAGCCUUUUCUCACGCCUUAUCUACUGGGGCCGGACAAGAACCUCACGGAGAGGCAGGUGUUUAACGAAAUAUACCCUGUUUGGACAUAUUCUUACCUGGCGUUGCUGUUUCCUAUAUUCCUUGCAACAGACUAUCUGCGAUACAAGCCAGUCAUUGUUUUGCAAGGUGUUAGUCUGAUAAUCACAUGGUUUAUGCUACUGUAUGCUCAAGGUACCCUGGCUCUUCAAUUCCUUGAAUUCUUCUAUGGAAUUGCAACUGCAACAGAAGUGGCUUACUACUCUUACAUCUACAGCAUGGUGGAGCCUAGCUUGUACCAAAAAGUUACCAGUUACUGCCGCACUGCCACGUUAACUGGUUUCACUGUUGGUUCUGUCAUUGGCCAGAUUCUGGUUUCAUUGGCAAACUGGUCUUUGUUCUCAUUGAAUGUCAUUUCUUUAACAUGCGUUUCCAUUGCUUUUGCAACUGCUUGUUUUUUACCAAUGCCAGCCAAAAGUCUUUUUUUCCACCAAAACUUGCUUUAUCCUGGAGAUAAGGAAAUGUAUAUAUCGGACAAGUUACAAAUGGACAGUAAUACAUAUGCCUUGGCAAAUGGCACUGAGGCUGAAGAGAUUGAAUCUCGAAUUGCAUUAAAUUCUGAAAACAGAUCGGAAUCAGAUGUAAAAAACUGUUCCACAAAGAAUAGUAACGGUUUACAAAGUGUUCUGAAGACCCUUUGGAAGUAUUUCUUACACUGUUACUCGUCACGCACACUUGUAUGCUGGUCAGCAUGGUGGGCUUUAUCGACUUGCGGCUACUGUCAAGUGGUAAAUUACGCUCAGGGUCUCUGGGAACAAGUUGCUCCAUCCUCCCAUUCUGAUAUAUAUAAUGGCAGUGUGGAAGCUGCUUCUACCCUCCUAGGAGCUGUUGCUGUGUUUACUGUUGGAUACAUAAAAACGUCAUGGUCUACAUGGGGAGAAUUACUUCUUGCUUUAUUUUCAGUAGUCCUUGCUAUUACGGUAUACAUUAUGGACACCAUUAGAAAUAUUUGGGUCUGUUAUGUGUCGUAUGUUUUCUUCAGAAGUAUCUAUAUGCUUCUAAUCACAAUAGCAACGUUUCAGAUUGCGGCAAAUCUGAGUAUGGAGUGCUAUGCACUUGUUUUUGGCGUAAAUACAUUUAUUGCCUUGGUUUUGCAAACCCUUUUGACCUUAAUAGUGGUGGAUUCGGUUGGCCUUGGCUUGGAUAUAUUUACACAAUUUAAAAUUUAUGGUGGAUACUUUGCUGCCAUAUCAUUCAUCUUUUUUAUGAGUGGACUUUACCAUGUAAUGAAAACAUGCAGAAGGAAGCCAAUUACUCUGGCAUCAUCAGAUCCUUGAAGAGAUCUGGUGGUAGAUGACUGGAACUUAUAUCAGUAUUUAUUUUGCUGCUUAAACAAUUAUUUGGUCAAUAUUAAACACAAUAUAUGUGCCUUUUAUUUA